rnacentral:rRNA from 1 species
GACGAACGCUGGCGGCGUGCUUAACACAUGCAAGUCGAACGGAAAGGCCCUGCUUGCAGGGUACUCGAGUGGCGAACGGGUGAGUAACACGUGGGUGAUCUGCCCUGCACUUCGGGAUAAGCCUGGGAAACUGGGUCUAAUACCGGAUAGGAGCCAUUUUUAGUGUGAUGGUUGGAAAGUUUUUUCGGUGUAGGAUGAGCUCGCGGCCUAUCAGCUUGUUGGUGGGGUAAUGGCCUACCAAGGCGGCGACGGGUAGCCGGCCUGAGAGGGUGGACGGCCACAUUGGGACUGAGAUACGGCCCAGACUCCUACGGGAGGCAGCAGUGGGGAAUAUUGCACAAUGGGCGCAAGCCUGAUGCAGCGACGCCGCGUGGGGGAGGACGGCCUUCGGGCUGGAAACUCCUUUCGCUAGGGACGAAGCUUUUUGUGACGGUACCUAGAUAAGAAGCACCGGCUAACUACGUG